AUGGCUCGUGCUCCUCUGCUAGCAGCAGUGGUAGUGGCGAGCUCGCUUGGGCCUGGGGCUUCUGCGGCCGAGCCUCCGGUGGCACGCGGCCUGUCGUUCGACUUCUACCGGCGGACCUGCCCGCGGGCGGAGUCCAUCGUGCGCGAGUUCGUCCAGGACGCCGUGCGCAAGGACAUCGGCCUCGCCGCGGGCCUCCUCCGCCUCCACUUCCACGACUGCUUCGUGCAGGGCUGCGACGCCUCCGUGCUGCUCGACGGCUCGGCCACGGGGCCGGGGGAGCAGCAGGCGCCGCCCAACCUCACGCUCCGCCCAUCCGCCUUCAAGGCCGUCAAUGACAUCCGUGACCGGCUGGAGCGCGAGUGCCGCGGGGCCGUCGUCUCCUGCGCCGACAUCCUCGCGCUCGCCGCCCGCGACUCCGUGGUCGUCUCCGGCGGGCCUGACUACCGCGUGCCCCUCGGCCGCCGCGACAGCCGCAGGUUUGCCACGCGGCAGGACGUCCUGUCCGACCUGCCGGCGCCGUCCUCGAACGUGCCGUCCCUCCUCGCCUUGCUCCGGCCACUCGGCCUCGACGCCACCGACCUCGUCACGAUCUCCGGCGGCCACACCGUCGGGCAGGCGCACUGCUCAUCUUUCGAGGACCGCCUCUUCCCGCGCCCCAACCCCACCAUCAACCCUCCCUUCCUCGCCAGGCAGAAGGGAACCUGCCCGGCCAAGGGCACCGACCGCCGCACCGUGCUGGACGUGCGCACGCCCAACGUGUUCGACAACCAGUACUAUGUCGACCUGGUGAACCGGGAGGGGCUCUUCGUCUCCGACCAGGACCUCUUCACCAACGACAUCACCCGGCCCAUUGUCGAGCGCUUUGCGCGGAGCCAGCGGGACUUCUUCGAGCAGUUCGGCGUGUCCAUGGGCAAGAUGGGCCAGAUGAGGGUGCGCACCAGCGACCUGGGAGAGGUCCGUCGGAACUGCUCCGCCCGCAACCCCGGCCCCGCCGCUGCCGACGCGCUCCAGUGGCCGUCCCUUGUGCAGACCAUCGUCGACGAUGCAGCCGCAGAAAGGCUUGGCUAG
rnacentral:rRNA from 1 species